rnacentral:rRNA from 1 species
UACGUAGGGGGCUAGCGUUGUCCGGAAUCAUUGGGCGUAAAGCGCGUGUAGGCGGCCCGGUAAGUCCGCUGUGAAAGUCCAGGGCUCAACCCUGGGAUGCCGGUGGAUACUGUCGGGCUCGAGUCCGGAAGAGGCGAGUGGAAUUCCUGGUGUAGCGGUGAAAUGCGCAGAUAUCAGGAGGAACACCAAUGGCGAAGGCAGCUCGCUGGGCUGUGACUGACGCUGAGACGCGAAAGCGUGGGGAGCAAACAGG